GGUACCCUUCUUGGCUGAUCCCUUUCGCUUUAUGGCGUGCUCGUUUGGUUUGGGCGUCGGCUAAGAGUGCUCGAAGUGUGGAUUAACUCCAGUCUCCAAUCAGGUAAUCCCCAGCCAUAGUGGGCUUGGAGCUGCGAGGGAUUCGGAGUGGCCACUCGUCUGCAAUAUGGAUUUCUUCUGGUGAUUUGGACUUGAAUUUUCUUUACUUUGAUGAUUUGGGUUUUGUUAUGUAAUAAGGCCGCUUACGAUUAUUUUUAAUUGGGUUUCGAUUUAUAACU